GCCUACGGGAGGCAGCAAUUAGGAAUCUUGCACAAUGGGGGAAACCCUGAUGCAGCGACGCCGCGUGAAGGAUGAAGGCCUUCGGGUUGUAAACUUCUUUUAAGAGGGAAGAAGAAUGUGACGGUACCUCUUGAAUAAGCCCCGGCUAACUACGUGCCAGCAGCCGCGGUAAUACGUAGGGGGCGAGCGUUGUCCGAAGUCACUGGGCGUAAAGCGCGCGUAGGCGGACUAUUAAGUUGGUUGUGAAAUCUCCACGGCUCAACCGGGAAACUGCAUCCAAAACUGGUAGUCUUGAGGUAUGGAGAGGGAAGUGGAAUUCCUGGUGUAGCGGUGAAAUGCGUAGAUAUCAGGAGGAACACCCGUGGCGAAGGCGGCUUCCUGGCCAUAUCCUGACGCUGAGGUGCGAAAGCCAGGGGAGCGAACGGGAUUAGAUACCCGAGUAGUCGU
rnacentral:rRNA from 1 species